rnacentral:rRNA from 1 species
CUAGUAAUCGCGCAUCAGCCACGGCGCGGUGAAUACGUUCCCGGGCCUUGUACACACCGCCCGUCAAGCCAUGAAAGCCGGGGGUACCUGAAGUGCGUAACCGCGAGGAGCGCCCUAGGGUAAAACUGGUGAUUGGGGCUAAGUCGUAACAAGGUAUC